AUGGCAUCCUUAGCUCUAAAAGUUAAUACUUUGCCAAAUGAAAAGAAAAAGAAAGGCAUCAAAAAUUUACUUUUCCCUUUUACUAACAGUGAUAUAAAAAGUAAAAAUAUCAACUCUAAAGCCCCAAAAUAUGAGCAAUCCACAUCUGGUGAAGUACCCUCUAUCGCCUCGGAUGGCGAGUACCAAAUCACCAAUCAGUAUAGCAGGAACAUCAAUGCUUAUCGGACGCAGAACCAACCACACGUCCAUUCCGAUAACGAGACAAUUUAUGGCAUUGCCAAGCCAAAUUUUAACAGAAGUUUAAGGGAUUUGAAAACAAGUGCCUCCAAUAGGCGGGCGUUUGACUCGGCAGAAACGAAUACAAAUGAACGGAGAUGCAGUAUAUCGAGCUCCGUUUCAACAACAUCUGAAAUUCCAUCAGCCGAAAGAUUCACUGAAUUGCAAUUAUCACCCAAUAUACCACCGUACUCGCAGUAUUACACAACUAGAAAUCCCACUUAUUCAUCCAGCCGUCCAGUAAUUAGAAGCAAAGGAACAAAUAUUCCUCAGCGACGAAGUCAACAGCAGAUUGAGCGUGACAUACAUCGGAGCAGUAAUAACUACAACUCUGAAGCCAAUGCAGUCAGCAAUACAUCGGUGUUGCCUAGUAAGAAUGUUGUGUCAGGGACAGGUGACCCAGGACCAAAAACAGAGCCUUCUGAAAGUAAAUCAGAUCUCCCUUCUCCUUCUACCCCCAUGUACGAUAUUAAGGACCACAAAAGAACGCCGCGAACAAAUCCUAUUUACAACACAUAUUCAGCUCUUGAAAGUUCUGAUCCCAACUACUGCUAUUCUAAACGAAUUGAAGAUGAGGCGAAUCUAAACUCCGGGUAUUUUGUGCGUGGUUCUAAACAUAGAAAUACAACUGGAUCAAUGAAUCCACCAGUUAAAGUUCUAUCCAAGUCUAUGAUCCCCCAGCAUUUGUUGCAAACGAAAGAAAUGAAAAACCAAAGCAACGCUCCGCCCAUCUUUAAACGCGGUACUCUGAUGGGAUCAGAAAAAAAACAUCCAAAGAAACAACAGCAUCAAAAAGAAUGUUAG
rnacentral:lncRNA from 1 species